UGGGGAAUUUGGACAAUGGGCGAAAGCCUGAUCCAGCAAUGCCGCGUGUGUGAAGAAGGCCUUCGGGUUGUAAAGCACUUUUGUCCGGAAAGAAAUCCUUGGCUCUAAUACAGUCGGGGGAUGACGGUACCGGAAGAAUAAGCACCGGCUAACUACGUGCCAGCAGCCGCGGUAAUACGUAGGGUGCAAGCGUUAAUCGGAAUUACUGGGCGUAAAGCGUGCGCAGGCGGUUUGCUAAGACCGAUGUGAAAUCCCCGGGCUCAACCUGGGAACUGCAUUGGUGACUGGCAGGCUAGAGUAUGGCAGAGGGGGGUAGAAUUCCACGUGUAGCAGUGAAAUGCGUAGAGAUGUGGAGGAAUACCGAUGGCGAAGGCAGCCCCCUGGGCCAAUACUGACGCUCAUGCACGAAAAGCGUGGGGAGCAAACAGGAUUAGAUACCCUGGUAGUCCACGCCCUAAAACGAUGUCAACUAGUUGUUGGGGAUUCAUUUCCUUAGUAACGUAGCUAACGCGUGAAGUUGACCGCCUGGGGAGUACGGUCGCAAGAUUAAAACUCAAAUGAAUUGACGGGGUCAUAGCUG
rnacentral:rRNA from 1 species